AGGCGGUUAGCUCAGUUGGUUAGAGCGCCACGUUGACAUCGUGGAGGUCACCAGUUCAAAUCUGGUAUCGCCUACCA
rnacentral:tRNA from 1 species